rnacentral:piRNA from 1 species
UGGUGUCACUCAGCUGGGCAGUC